UGGGAGUUGAAGUCCAUCCGUCUUAAAGUCGCCGAGAGGGAGAAGCGCUGGAGUCUCCCUUCAAGCCAUUGGAUCCUGAAAUGAGAAAGCAUCCCCUUCACCAGCCAAGCAACGAGCUAAAAUGGAUGACAUCGUGGUGGUGGCCCCAGGGACUCAGGCAUCACGGAAUGUCAGCAGUGACCCAGAUGUCAUAAAACUGCAGGAAAUCCCCACUUUCCAGCCUCUGUUGAAAGGAAAGAACUCUGAUCUUCUGGAAAUAAGUUGUACUGAAGU